rnacentral:tRNA from 1 species
GUCCCCAUAGCUCAACGGAUAGAGCGUAGCCCUGCGAAGGCUAAAAUUGUGGUUCGAUUCCACAUGGGGACACUA